rnacentral:rRNA from 1 species
CAGUCGCCGCGGGAAUACGAAGGGGGCUAGCGUUGUUCGGAUUUACUGGGCGUAAAGGGUGCGUAGGCGGAUUGUUAGGUCAGGGGUGAAAUCCCGAGGCUCAACCUCGGAACUGCCUUUGAUACUGGCGAUCUUGAGUCCGGGAGAGGUGAGUGGAACUGCGAGUGUAGAGGUGAAAUUCGUAGAUAUUCGCAAGAACACCGGUGGCGAAGGCGGCUCACUGGCCCGGUACUGACGCUGAGGCACGAAAGCGUGGGGAGCAAACAGGAUUAGAUACCCCGGUAGUCCCUGUCUCUUAUAC